UGUCUUUUAGAAAUUAAUUUAAAGUCUAACCUGCCCACUGAAUUUUUUUAAAUGGCCGCAGUAUCCUAACUGUGCAAAGGUAGCAUAAUCAUUAGUCUUUUAAUUGAAGGCUGGAAUGAAUGGUUGGAUGAAAUAUUAACUGUUUCAUAAAAAUUUAUAAUAGAAUUUUAUUUUUUAGUCAAAAAGCUAAAAUUUAAUUAAAAGACGAGAAGACCCUAUAAAUCUUUAUAUUUAUAAAAUUACAAUUAUAUAGAUAAUUUAAAUUUUAAUUUUUUAUAAUAUUUUAUUGGGGUGAUAUUAAAAUUUAAUAAACUUUUAAUUUAUAAUUUACAUAAAUUAAUGAAUUUUUGAUCCAUUUAUUAUGAUUAAAAAAUUAAGUUACUUUAGGGAUAACAGCGUAAUUUUUUUAGAGAGUUCAUAUUGAUAAAAAAGAUUGCGACCUCGAUGUUGGAUUAAGAUACAGUUUUAGGUGCAGCAGCU
rnacentral:rRNA from 1 species